UACGUAGGGUGCGAGCGUUGUUCGGAAUUACUGGGCGUAAAGGGCGCGUAGGCGGCCUGCUAAGUCGAACGUGAAAUCCCCGGGCUCAACCCGGGAACUGCGUCCGAUACUGGCAGGCUUGAGUUCGGGAGAGGGAUGCGGAAUUCCAGGUGUAGCGGUGAAAUGCGUAGAUAUCUGGAGGAACACCGGUGGCGAAGGCGGCAUCCUGGACCGACACUGACACUGAGGAGCGAAAGCCAGGGGGAGCAAACGGG
rnacentral:rRNA from 1 species